AUAAGCCUCUCCUGCACACUCACUCAUUGCCAGAUUAUUCUUUGAACUCAGGCAAGACUCUUCUGAUUCCCGGGAAACCUGCCAGCCUUCUAUCGCUCACCUUGAGAUCAUCUUCCAUCCCACAACUAUACAGUGUCUCAUCCAGAAUGAUGAAACUCAGUGUUUUCCUUCUCAUGCUCCUCAUGGAGACGUGCUCUGCCUCCACUUAUCAAAACGUGGCGUUGCGUGGAAAAGCGACCCAGUCAAAGACUUAUGUAAAAAUUGCAUCUGCCAGCAACGGUAUUGAUGGAAACCGUGACAAUCACUUCUAUUCUGGAUCGUGCAGCCACACUGAUAAAGUAAACAACCCCUGGUGGAGAGUGGACCUACUGGAGCCCUACGUCGUCACCUCCGUCAUCAUCUCCAACAGAGGAGACUGCUGUUCAGAAAGGCUCGACGGGGCACAUAUCCACAUCGGCAACUCUUUAGACAACAAUGGUGCAUCAAACCCAGUGUAAGACAUUUCCUGCACACAUUUUAUUCAUUUGUUUUGUGUAACUGUCUGAGCAUUUAGUUUAUAUUCUCCUCUCCCCUGUUAAUUGCUCACCACCAGUAGACAGAGGUGUAUUCAGAUUCUUUACUUGAGUACAAGUACAGAUAACCAUAGUUUCAAAAUAUUUCAUUACAAGGAAAAGUUCUGCAUUCAAAAGGUUUCUUAAGUAAAAGUACAAAAGUAUUAUCAGCAAAAUGUACUUAAUGAUUAAAUGUACAUAUGUGAUAUUUCUAGAUAUAUUCAUGCAUUAAGAAGCAUUUUACAAGUUUAAUUGUAUUUAUAUGAUUUGACUGUUUUGUGACUUAAAGCGUUAGUCCCCUAGUUUAAUUGUUAGAGAUACAUUUAGUUAAAAGUAGCUAAAGCUGUUUAAUGAAUGUACUGGAAUAAAAUGACAUUAUUUCCGUAUUGAAAUGUAGAGGAAUAGGAGGAGAAAGUAGAAUUAAAUGGAAAUACUCAAGUUAAGUACAAGUACCUCUGAAUUGUAAAUGUACUACCCAACUCUGCCAGUAGAUUCUCAUAUAAACUGUUCCUAAAUGUUUCAACCAUGUAAUUUUACUUAUUUGCAUUGCUUAUCAAAAAUAUAGGCAAUGCUGAAGUGCGUUAAACUUGCAUCGUCUUUAAUAUCUCGCAGUGGGUGCCCCUGAUUGC